GGGGAUCUAGCUCAGCGGCAUAAGCGCCUGCCUUGCAAGCAGGCAGUCCUGAGUUCGAUCCCUG
rnacentral:tRNA from 1 species